AUCCAACUGACGAGUCCCAAAUAGGACGGAAAGCGCGGCCUGGAU
rfam:Schistosoma rodhaini strain Burundi genome assembly, scaffold: SROB_scaffold0001317